UCAUCUCUGAUCUGGACCCACUGAAAAGCUGGAAAGUUUUAAGAGAGACUGCCACGGAAUUGUCUGGAACAUUACCAAGGUAAGCAAGCUGUUCUGCUAAAACCAAAUCUGUGUGUUGGCUUUGGGGAGCUGCUGAAGGGAAGUACAGCCUCUCCAGCUGAAGCACCCAAGACAGCCUGUCAGAGGUUUAAGAGAGGA
rnacentral:lncRNA from 1 species